UUUUUGUUUCAAAUGUUAUGAUUUAUAGUACAGUUGCACGUUCUCUGUGCCCAAAAUUUGCACACGUGAAUUGUUAUUUAAGUAUUUACAAUGGAAUAUUUGUGCUAAAACGGAUAACUGUACCAUUUUAGAAGUUGUUGCAUCACAGAUGUCGAUUUGGGCAAAAACAACAACGAGCAAUCAGGAAUAGAAAGCUUCUUCAUAUGCAUUACAACAGCCAGCAGUGAAGAACACAAUG